rnacentral:lncRNA from 1 species
UGACGGCAGCCGACGUACGUCAGUACGCCGUUCGGAAGAGGCCGACGCAAGGGGCCGGGCCGUCAUGGCCUCCCAAGAGGCCCCACGUAGCUCCGCCGAGCGAACCGACUGGGUCGGGGGCGGAGCCCGUCAUCGCACUGUCGGCACCGACAGUGCUCGUCGAAGUCCCGUCCGAGGGAUCGUCGGGCGAGGGCGCUGCCUCGCCCGAAAGAAGGGCGG